CUUACAGUCACCCAGGGAUCAUGUGCAGGUGCAGAUCCUUAUUCUCUGUGGCCAGAGAUUCUACAUUUCUAACAGGCUCCCAGAUGAUUUGAGA
rnacentral:pre_miRNA from 1 species